rnacentral:rRNA from 1 species
AGUGAACGCUGGCGGUAGGCCUAACACAUGCAAGUCGAACGGCAGCACAGUAAGAGCUUGCUCUUAAGGGUGGCGAGUGGCGGACGGGUGAGGAAUACAUCGGAAUCUACUUUUUCGUGGGGGAUAACGUAGGGAAACUUACGCUAAUACCGCAUACGACCUACGGGUGAAAGCAGGGGAUCUUCGGACCUUGCGCGAUUGAAUGAGCCGAUGUCGGAUUAGCUAGUUGGCGGGGUAAAGGCCCACCAAGGCGACGAUCCGUAGCUGGUCUGAGAGGAUGAUCAGCCCCACUGGAACUGAGACUCGGUCCAGACUCCUACGGGAGGCAGCAGUGGGGAAUAUUGGACAAUGGGCGCAAGCCUGAUCCAGCCAUACCGCGUGGGUGAAGAAGGCCUUCGGGUUGUAAAGCCCUUUUGUUGGGAAAGAAAAGCAGCAGGUUAAUACCCCGCUGUUCUGACGGUACCCAAAGAAUAAGCACCGGCUAACUUCGUG